rnacentral:rRNA from 1 species
GAUGAACGCUGGCGGCGUGCUUAACACAUGCAAGUCGAACGGGAAACCUUUUAUUGAAGCUUCGGCAGAUUUAGCUGGUUUCUAGUGGCGGACGGGUGAGUAACGCGUGGGUAACCUGCCUUAUACAGGGGGAUAACAGUCAGAAAUGGCUGCUAAUACCGCAUAAGCGCACAGAGCUGCAUGGCUCAGUGUGAAAAACUCCGGUGGUAUAAGAUGGACCCGCGUUGGAUUAGCUGGUUGGUGGGGUAACGGCCCACAAAGGCGACGAUCCAUAGCCGGCCGGGAGGGGGGAACGGCCCCAUUGGGACGGGGACCCGGCCCAGACCCCUACGGGGGGGCGCAGGGGGGAAAAUUGCAAAAUGGGGGAAACCCUGAGGCGGCGACGCCGCGUGAAGGAAGAAGUAUCUGGGUAUGUAAACUUCUAUCAGCAGGGAAGAUAAUGACGGUACCGAACUAAGAAGCCCCGGCUAACUCCGU